AAACAAGCAUGAGUCAACUACAUCACCGGAAUGACGACCUCCUCCGACCCUGCCGCCACCCCGGCGCCGCAGUCUCCGGGCGUCGGCGGCGUGGCCCUCUCGUCCUGCAUCGGCGACCUCCUCCGUUUCGUCCUCUCCUCCCACACCGGCGCCUGCCCCGGUGACGACCUGGCCGCGUUCCCCCUCUCGCCGUCCUACUGCGUCCGCCUCGUCAACGACGGCGAACUGUUCGGGAAGCUGGAGGCCUCUAUUCAGCGGUGCCUCGAGGAGGGGCGGCUCCCGGGACCGCCCGCAGUGGUCGGGAUUCCGGCUGCGGAGGAGGGGCCGGAGGAGAGAGGGUGGGAGCUGCUGCUGCUGGAGAAAGGCGCCGAGUUGAAGCGGAUGUAUGAUGCUGUUGACUUUGAGUUGCAUGUUCAGGAACCCUACUUCACUCAACUCAGAGCUGGAGCCAAGAAGGUUGAAGGGAGAUUAGCGACUGGUAACUACAACCGGAUUACACAAGGUUCUUUGCUGCUAUUCAAUAAAUGCCUGUUGCUUAACAUUGAGGCAGUUAGGAAGUACAGUUCAUUCUCUGAGAUGCUGGAAGCAGAGAUAAUCUCAAAUGUCCUUCCUGGUAUUUCAUCAAUUGUAGAAGGUGUGAAAGUAUAUAGGAAAUUCUAUACAGAGGAAAAGGAGAACUCUUCUGGAGUUUUAGCGAUAUCAGUUUCAAAGCCAACAUCUCAACCUUACAUAACCAUGACUGAUAUCCUUGCUGGAUUGGGCUAUGAUGGAUUGGGUAGACUCCUUGGUAUGGCCAAAACAGCUGGAACUGUUCCAGAUGGACUACCUCCUCCAAGAUCUGCACUGUUAUCAUCUUGUAUGAGACUACUCCAACCAAAUGUGAAAGGCUGUUCUUUAACUGAUGGUGCAAGGGCAUUGUCCAAACAUGUUCACAGGAGUAGGAAAGGAUGGUGGGGCAACUUUAAUGGGAGUGAUUCGAGCAAGAACCAAGUUGCAUCUGAAACCGUUGACUCUUUGUUGCGUGAAUGUUGUUGGAUGAAUGUUCAUCUGACUCAACCCUAUGGUCCUGUUUUUGAAAUCCGUGUGCAUGAAGGUUAUGGCGCCAGAUGGUCUCAAGAUGGUUCAAAGAUUGGCAGUUGAUUUGUUCACUUGAUAUCUGGUGCUGAAAGAUUCCAGAAGUGAUCCAAUCAAGAGACCAAAUCCUACAAAAAAAAAUAGCACCGGUUAACUAAUAAUGAUGAUCUGCCAGAUUUUCGUUGGGGUACCGUAUCCCUUCUGCCUUGAUACAUACUCAUGAACAGCUAAUAAGGGUCAUUAAAUGAAGGAGUUUCAUCAGAUGAGAGAGGAGUUUCAUCCCCAUGAAACUUCUAUGGCUCGGUUACCUAGUUUGUAGUCUUGGUAACUGUGUCAUAAAACUAUGCAUUGAGGCUGGCCUAACAAGUCAAACACUUGGUGCCAACAAGAUUUCUAUAAUCAGUGUCUGCUAUGUAUAUUAAUAUAUUCCAGAAUGUCAGGACACUGAAACAAUUUGUAAACUAUGCCCGAUCAUUCAACUGCUUGCUCGCCACAUUUGCAGUUCAUUGGAUUCUUGGAGCCCUACACCCCAGAAGGCUAUGCUAAAGGAUGGAAACACUAGCACUAGCCAGAUGCCUAGAUCUUGAUCUGUAUUAGCUGUCUUGUCUAUCAGGGUUCAUUUGCAUCUCUGAACGAUACUGGUCUUGCUCAAAUAAAGAGACGAUCAUGUGUACAUCAGUCCUGCCUAAGGUAUAUUCUACUUUUCCCCUUUUGUUGACUGGAGAAAAGGGGCUGAGGAACAUUGUUCCUUGCAUGUUAUGGUCAAAUUCUGGAGUUCUGAAGUUUUUCUUUGGAUC